CUCGUUGUAGUGCAAUGGAUAGCACGUUGGGCUUCUAAUCCAAAGGUUGUGUGGGUUCGAAUCCCACCUGUGGGA